CUGACGCUGAGGCUCGAAAGUGUGGGGAGCAAACAGGAUUAGAUACCCUGGUAGUCCACACUGUAAACGAUGAUUGCUAGGUGUGGGGGGUCUGACCCCUUCCGUGCCGGAGCUAACGCAAUAAGCAAUCCACCUGGGGAGUACGACCGCAAGGUUGAAACUCAAAGGAAUUGACGGGGACCCGCACAAGCAGUGGAUUAUGUGGUUUAAUUCGAAGCAACGCGAAGAACCUUACCAGCACUUGACAUCCAACUAACGAAAUAGAGAUAUAUUAGGUGCCCUUCGGGGAAAGUUGAGACAGGUGGUGCAUGGUUGUCGUCAGCUCGUGUCGUGAGAUGUUGGGUUAAGUCCCGCAACGAGCGCAACCCUCGCCAUUAGUUGCUACGCAAGAGCACUCUAAUGGGACCGCUACCGACAAGGUGGAGGAAGGUGGGGACGACGUCAAAUCAUCAUGCCCCUUAUGUGCUGGGCUACACACGUAAUACAAUGGCCAUCAACAGAGAGAAGCAAUACCGCGAGGUGGAGCAAAACUUCAAAAAUGGUCUCAGUUCGGACUGCAGGCUGCAACCCGCCUGCACGAAGUUGGAAUUGCUAGUAAUCGUGGAUCAGCAUGCCACGGUGAAUACGUUCCCGGGUCUUGUACACACCGCCCGUCACACCAUGGGAGCCGGUAACACCCGAAGUCAGUAGUCUAACCGCAAGGAGGACGCUGCCGAAGGUGGGAUUGGCGACUGGGGUGAAGUCGUAACAAGGUAGCCGUAUCGGAAGGUGCGGCUG
rnacentral:rRNA from 1 species